rnacentral:rRNA from 1 species
AACCAGCACCUCAAGUGGUCAGGAUGAUUAUUGGGCCUAAAGCAUCCGUAGCCGGCUCUGUAAGUUUUCGGUUAAAUCUGUACGCUUAACGUACAGGCUGCCGGGAAUACUGCAGAGCUAGGUAGUGGGAGAGGUAGACGGUACUCGGUAGGAAGGGGUAAAAUCCUUUGAUCUAUUGAUGACCACCUGUGGCGAAGGCGGUCUACCAGAACACGUACGACGGUGAGGGAUGAAAGCUGGGGGAGCAAACCGGAUUAGAUACCCGGGUAGUCCCGGCUGUAAACUAUGCAAACUCAGUGAUGCAUUGGCUUGUGGCCAAUGCAGUGCUGCAGGGAAGCCGUUAAGUUUGCCGCCUGGGAAGUACGUACGCAAGUAUGAAACUUAAAGGAAUUGGCGGGGGAGCACCACAAGGGGUGAAGCCUGCGGUUCAAUUGGAGUCAACGCCAGAAAUCUUACCCGGAGAGACAGCAGAAUGAAGGUCAAGCUGAAGACUUUACCAGACAAGCUGAGAGGUGGUGCAUGGCCGUCGCCAGCUCGUGCCGUGAGAUGUCCUGUUAAGUCAGGUAACGAGCGAGAUCCCUGCCUCUAGUUGCCACCAUUACUCUCAGGAGUAGUGGGGCGAAUUAGCGGGACCGCCGCAGUUAAUGCGGAGGAAGGAAGGGGCCACGGCAGGUCAGUAUGCCCCGAAACUCUGGGGCCACACGCGGGCUGCAAUGGUAACGACAAUGGGUUUCGAAUUCGAAAGGAUGAGGUAAUCCUCAAACGUUACCACAGUUAUGACUGAGGGCUGCAACUCGCCCUCACGAAUAUGGAAUCCCUAGUAACUGCGUGUCACUAUCGCGCGGUGAAUACGUCCCUGCUCCU